rnacentral:rRNA from 1 species
CCUACGGGAGGCGGCAGUGGGGAAUUUUGGACAAUGGGCGCAAGCCUGAUCCAGCAAUGCCGCGUGAGUGAAGAAGGCCUUCGGGUUGUAAAGCUCUUUUGUCAGGGAAGAAACGGUUGGGGCUAAUAUCCUCGGCUAAUGACGGUACCUGAAGAAUAAGCACCGGCUAACUACGUGCCAGCAGCCGCGGUAAUACGUAGGGUGCAAGCGUUAAUCGGAAUUACUGGGCGUAAAGCGUGCGCAGGCGGUUUUGUAAGUCUGUCGUGAAAGCCCCGGGCUUAACCUGGGAAUUGCGAUGGAGACUGCAAGGCUUGAAUCUGGCAGAGGGGGGUAGAAUUCCACGUGUAGCAGUGAAAUGCGUAGAGAUGUGGAGGAACACCGAUGGCGAAGGCAGCCCCCUGGGUCAAGAUUGACGCUCAUGCACGAAAGCGUGGGGAGCAAACAGGAUUAGAUACCCUGGUAGUCCACGCCCUAAACGAUGUCUACUAGUUGUCGGGUCUUAAUUGACUUGGUAACGCAGCUAACGCGUGAAGUAGACCGCCUGGGGAGUACGGUCGCAAGAUUAAAACUCAAAUGAAUUGACGG